AACUAGAGUACUUUAGGGAGGGGUAGAAUUCCACGUGUAGCGGUGAAAUGCGUAGAGAUGUGGAGGAAUACCGAAGGCGAAGGCAGCCCCUUGGGAAUGUACUGACGCUCAUGUGCGAAAGCGUGGGGAGCAAACAGGAUUAGAUACCCUGGUAGUCCACGCUGUAAACGCUGUCGAUUUGGGGAUUGGGCUUAAAGCUUGGUGCCCGUAGCUAACGUGAUAAAUCGACCGCCUGGGGAGUACGGCCGCAAGGUUAAAACUCAAAUGAAUUGACGGGGGCCCGCACAAGCGGUGGAGCAUGUGGUUUAAUUCGAUGCAACGCGAAGAACCUUACCUACUCUUGACAUCCAU
rnacentral:rRNA from 1 species